rnacentral:rRNA from 1 species
GAUGAACGCUGGCGGCGUGCCUAAUACAUGCAAGUCGAGCGAACGGACGAGAAGCUUGCUUCUCUGAUGUUAGCGGCGGACGGGUGAGUAACACGUGGAUAACCUACCUAUAAGACUGGGAUAACUUCGGGAAACCGGAGCUAAUACCGGAUGAUAUUUUGAACCGCAUGGUUCAAAAGUGAAAGACGGUUUUGCUGUCACUUAUAGAUGGAUCCGCGCUGCAUUAGCUAGUUGGUAAGGUAAUGGCUUACCAAGGCAACGAUGCAUAGCCGACCUGAGAGGGUGAUCGGCCACACUGGAACUGAGACACGGUCCAGACUCCUACGGGAGGCAGCAGUAGGGAAUCUUCCGCAAUGGGCGAAAGCCUGACGGAGCAACGCCGCGUGAGUGAUGAAGGUCUUCGGAUCGUAAAACUCUGUUAUUAGGGAAGAACAUAUGUGUAAGUAACUGUGCACAUCUUGACGGUACCUAAUCAGAAAGCCACGGCUAACUACGUG